GCUAGACUGCUUGUUUUUUAGUAGUAGAUAAAGAGAAUAGAAAGUGCCACAUAAUUGACUUUACAGUCCCAAAUGAUAAAAAAAUCAAUAUGAGAGGUAUAGAAAAAAUAGCCAAGUACCAGGACCUAGCCAUUGAAUUACAGACACUAUGGAAAGUGCGGAUAAAAUGUAUCCCAGUAGUUACAGGUGCAUUAAGAACUAUCCCUAAAAUUUGAACAGAUGGAUAGAAGAAAUAGGCAUAAAUCCCACUUUAGUACAGCUCCAAAAAACAGUGUUAUUCGGGACAACUAGGAUACUUAGGAGAGUUCUUGGCAUCUAAGGUUGAUUGUUGUUGCCCGAUGAUAGGAAUUUUUCUUUUCCAACAAUCUAAUCUAUUGUGAGUAUAUGAAUAAUAAUAAUAAUAAUGAUAAUAGUGAUAAUAAUAAUUUUUCUAUUAACCACUGAGUGUUUACAAAAAGAUCGAGGAUGAUACAGGACGAUUCAAUGCACUCAUCUUGCAUCAAUAUGGGAUUACAUUAAAGUGUGCAAACAGUAUAAUAGCAGAAACAAAGAAACAAACAGUUCAAACAAAAAACUUCCUCGAAGGUGGGAGACUUACGAGGCCUGCUCGUUGGAACCCUACGAAACUGCAGUCACUCUUACCCUAGGGCAAAUUCUCCCUUUCUAUCCUCCUCCUUAAAUGUAUAGGCACAUGCUCAGAACAGGCCCGUUCACUCGAGUGAUCCUUGCUACAUUCACCUGCUUUUCAACAAAUUCGCUGGAAGGCAGCACUUUCUUCCCUCUUUCCAUUUCAAGUGAAACUUGAAAAGGUUGAUCAGGGCUUCAACAAGUAUCCGUCUUCAAACAUUUCAGUUUCGUCCACUUCAAUAUCUCUUUUGCUAAGGCCAUAACACAGCUGCAAGUUGCCAAUCCAUCUCGAUCAAAGGAAGGCAGCGAGACGAUAUAUUUACAAUGUACUCAGCUGAUAGCUGAAUCCGCUGGCACGUGUUCGAAACGACGCGGGAUUCAGAUGAGUACGCGCAAAACAAUUUCGUUGCUUUGCAUGCAUCUCUGGCAGGCUGAAGGCAUUUCCAUACAUGUAGAGUCUCCCGGUAGCGCUGACAGACCAGAGAUUUCUGGAAAUUAUCCAUAACUCCCAGCCAGAAAGUUUUCUGGGGAAAACCAAUCAAUUGAUUCUCAUUGAUUCUCCUUUACAACGUUGUCGCUCUUGUCCUCCGCUAAACCUUUAAAGAACCCCAAAGUGGAACUCCCACCAACUGCCUGACUUGUAGAGGGCUAUGAGGUCCAGACGAUACUUUAGGUCAGUGGUUUUCAACCAGGGUUCCGCGGAACCUUAGGGUUCCGCCAGUACAGUGCAGGGGUUCCGCAAGAAGUUACAAAACUGUUAAAAUCGGCAGUAAUUUUUAAGUCUCCUGUGCAGAUAUGUGUGCAUAAGACUAUUAAAUUAUUGCAAAGGAGUUCCUCGAGCCAGUGGAAUUUUUCCUUGGGGUUCCGCUCCAGCAAAAAGUUUGAAAAGCACUGCUCUAGGUGCUAGGCCGCCUUACCUCAAUCCAUGCUGUAUUCCUAACUGCAACUCUAUCAGAUAGAUGAGCUGUGAAAAGGCGAGUCUGACAAACGGCGUCCACAUCUGCUCACCGUCAUGGAAAUGCUAGAGACGUUGCAGCCGAUGUGUAUAUCUGCGCAUCAUCAGCUGUAGUAUGCUCAGUAUUCACUGAAUAGAGGAUUAGGCUUGCCCUGAAGUGCCUCAGCAGUGAAACGCGCCCCUUCUACAGAAAGGAGUAGAACAGGCGCUCCAGUCCGAUGAAAAGUGAGCUGGUACAAGGCACGGCAGCCAGGUGAUAUAAACGUUCGCCACUUCUGCUAGACUUUUUCAGAAAUAGCUUUCUCUCGCCCCAUUUGUAUACGAGAUAGACCACCCUGUUCAUCACCUCGUCCAAUUUCUUCUCCACUUGAAGGUCUGGAAUAAACGAGAUCCCAAACAAUUUAACCGAUCUGUCUGUCCAACGCUUAAAGACGUUGUCUCCACAAGAGCCAAGCGGAAGGCUCAUUCACUUUUCUAGGUUGAGUUUCACUGUGUGUGUGUGUGUGAAUUUGGUUGUGCUUGUACAGGAGAUGGUGGUGUGUGAUAGUGGUGGUAAUGGUGGUGAUGGGGUGAUGGGGUAAUGGUGUUGAUAGCAGUGAUGUAGCUGUUGUCGGCAGUGGUGUUAGUGCAUCGUUGCUUAAAAGCAUCUCUCCCAUUUGUUCAUAUCUCCCUGUUUUUUUCAUUGUUUCUUUUUUGUUACUGUUUGUCAUUCAGGGGCCUUGCUGUUAUGUUCAUCACACAAUAGGUUUGUAUGGUGUGAGUUGGGGAGGGGCAUGUCUUGGGGAGGUUUGUGGUAUUGUUCUGUUGUUGAUAUAAUUAUUGUUUGAGCAGCGGGUUCUGCUAUUAUUGUUGUUACUGCUGCUGUGGUCUGUGAUGUGCAGGCCUUUGUUAUUUUUUUGCUGUUGCUACCACGGUUGGUGUUGUUAUUGCUGUUGAUGUUGCUCUCCAUCUUGCAAGCUGGUGUUGCGAAUCGUUAUUGCUACAGCUGCUGUUAUUGCAGGUUUCGCCGCUGCUGGUUUUAUAGUUUGUCAUUAUUGCUGUUGUUGCUGUCGUGCCCCAUGCUGGUACUCAUUUCAACAAAUUAGACUGGAUCUUCCGUUGGAACUGUGACUGGAGAAUCGAUUUCAUAGGGACUUCAUAGAGACCAAAAUUAAUAAGUGAAAGCAUGUUGCAUGCCACUGUUUUAUCCUGGAUUCCGGUGACAUCUGUAAUUUGGUAUUAUCUUAAUAAGAGAAGGGAUUAUCUUGAUGAAUUCACUGCAAUUUUACGACAGGAAUUAUCUUGUUGCUAGGAACUCACUGCAAUUCCAGAUCGUUCGGUUUUGUGGGGGCUUGAAUUACGGCAAUAUUGAUUCCUAACAAAGUAGUUCAUCUCGUCCCCAGAAAAUCAUGGUUACGCCUAUGCUUUAACUCGAAGAAUUGAUGCAAAGAUGUAACCAUGAUGUUCUGAGGAUUUGAUGAGCUAGUUUUCUUGAUCUGCAUUGAUUUGUAAAUAUACAAUUGUAUUGUAUAAUCCGAAGCUUGAAUAUUAGCGCAGACAUAUGAAACAAUAUAUUUAUUAUUCAUUAAAAUUAUUCCAUGAUGAAGGCUACGAAACGGCCGUAAUCCUAAAGAUUAAAAAGUGGUUAAAUAAAUAUAUUCACGGAAAUGUCUCCUGUGGCUAAAUUACAGCAACAGUCGUCCUAAACCAGGACUGCCAUGUUAUGUUGGCAAUCAAUCUUUACUCCAAGGUACUGUUGCUGAAUAUCUCUCGUUGUGAGAUUUAAAAAUAGUAAAUUUCCAAAUAUAUUCACCUCUUAGACUGCUUGACUUUUUAUGUGUGUGUGUGUGUGAGUGCAUAUGCAUUGAUACGCACGCGUUCCACAUACACACAGAUAGAUAGAUAGAUAGAUAGAUAGAUAGAUAGAUAGAUAGAUAGAUAGAUAGAUAGAUAGAUAGAUAGAUAGAUAGAUAGAUAGAUAGAUAGAUAAGAAAUAUGUCACUGACAAACACUAUCUUUAAGAUAGCGUGUCAUUGAAUUCUACAUAUCUUUAUAAUAAAAAAACUACAUAUAUACUUGAAAUAUAAACACACACCCACACAACACAUACAACACACACACACACACACACAGAGUUUUAUAAAUGUAUAUUGAGGAGCAUGCUUAUAAACUUCGUUUAAAGUACAUUGCACACUCACAUAGGAACGAAGUCAAACUACCAACAAAUAGUAAAUGGCAACUGGGAAAACUAACACACACAAACACGCAGCUGUAUUCAAGCAUACAUACAAAGAUUUAAACUCAUAUAUUUUCCUUUGCUUAUUUGUUGUGUUUCUUUAGGAUUAAAAUCUAUUGGCUUCUUCAAUUUUUCAUUCAUUUCCAGUCAUAGCCAGAAUAUUUCUUCUCGCUUAUGUCGUCGACGAAAGAUAAGCAGCAACAACAACAACAACAACUGGAAUAUAUUCUUGACUGAAAC
rnacentral:lncRNA from 1 species